GAUGAACGCUGGCGGCGUGCCUAAUACAUGCAAGUCGAGCGAACGGACGAGAAGCUUGCUUCUCUGAUGUUAGCGGCGGACGGGUGAGUAACACGUGGAUAACCUACCUAUAAGACUGGGAUAACUUCGGGAAACCGGAGCUAAUACCGGAUAAUAUUUUGAGCCGCAUGGUUCAAAAGUGAAAGACGGUCUUGCUGUCACUUAUAGAUGGAUCCGCGCUGCAUUAGCUAGUUGGUAAGGUAACGGCUUACCAAGGCAACGAUGCAUAGCCGACCUGAGAGGGUGAUCGGCCACACUGGAACUGAGACACGGUCCAGACUCCUACGGGAGGCAGCAGUAGGGAAUCUUCCGCAAUGGGCGAAAGCCUGACGGAGCAACGCCGCGUGAGUGAUGAAGGUCUUCGGAUCGUAAAACUCUGUUAUUAGGGAAGAACAUAUGUGUAAGUAACUGUGCACAUCUUGACGGUACCUAAUCAGAAAGCCACGGCUAACUACGUGCCAGCAGCCGCGGUAAUACGUAGGUGGCAAGCGUUAUCCGGAAUUAUUGGGCGUAAAGCGCGCGUAGGCGGUUUUUUAAGUCUGAUGUGAAAGCCCACGGCUCAACCGUGGAGGGUCAUUGGAAACUGGAAAACUUGAGUGCAGAAGAGGAAAGUGGAAUUCCAUGUGUAGCGGUGAAAUGCGCAGAGAUAUGGAGGAACACCAGUGGCGAAGGCGACUUUCUGGUCUGUAACUGACGCUGAUGUGCGAAAGCGUGGGGAUCAAACAGGAUUAGAUACCCUGGUAGUCCACGCCGUAAACGAUGAGUGCUAAGUGUUAGGGGGUUUCCGCCCCUUAGUGCUGCAGCUAACGCAUUAAGCACUCCGCCUGGGGAGUACGACCGCAAGGUUGAAACUCAAAGGAAUUGACGGGGACCCGCACAAGCGGUGGAGCAUGUGGUUUAAUUCGAAGCAACGCGAAGAACCUUACCAAAUCUUGACAUCCUUUGACAACUCUAGAGAUAGAGCCUUCCCCUUCGGGGGACAAAGUGACAGGUGGUGCAUGGUUGUCGUCAGCUCGUGUCGUGAGAUGUUGGGUUAAGUCCCGCAACGAGCGCAACCCUUAAGCUUAGUUGCCAUCAUUAAGUUGGGCACUCUAAGUUGACUGCCGGUGACAAACCGGAGGAAGGUGGGGAUGACGUCAAAUCAUCAUGCCCCUUAUGAUUUGGGCUACACACGUGCUACAAUGGACAAUACAAAGGGCAGCGAAACCGCGAGGUCAAGCAAAUCCCAUAAAGUUGUUCUCAGUUCGGAUUGUAGUCUGCAACUCGACUACAUGAAGCUGGAAUCGCUAGUAAUCGUAGAUCAGCAUGCUACGGUGAAUACGUUCCCGGGUCU
rnacentral:rRNA from 1 species